CAGGACUCGCAAGACUCCUACAACCCUGUGAACCUACUAUACGAACGUUGCUUCGGCGGGUGCGCCCCGGGGAUUCGUUCCCGAGGCGCGUCAGCCCGCCGGCAGCCUACAAAUUCUGUUUCUUUGCGUUGGCAUCUCGAGAAAAAAAAAAUAAGUUA
rnacentral:misc_RNA from 1 species